ACCGCUUCUCGGCCUUUUGGCUAAGAUCAAGUGUA
rnacentral:snRNA from 1 species